ACCACCCUACGGAGGCAGCAGUGGGGAAUCUUCCGCAAUGGGCGAAAGCCUGACGGAGCAACGCCGCGUGAUCGAAUGAAGGCCUUCGGGUUGUAAAGAUCUGUUGACAGGGACGAAUAAGCAAUGCGAAUAGUUUUGCGUAUGACGGUACCUGUUUAGAAAGCUCCGGCUAACUACGUGCCAGCAGCCGCGGUAAUACGUAGGGAGCAAGCGUUGUCCGGAAUUACUGGGCGUAAAGGGCGCGUAGGUGGGCGCUUAAGUCAGGUGUGAAAACUCCGGGCUCAACCUGGAGACUGCACUUGAAA
rnacentral:rRNA from 1 species